CCCUUAGAUGUUCUGGGCUGCACGCGCGCUACACUGAUACUUUCAGCGAGUCCACCACCUUGCCUGGGAGGGUGGGGUAACCUCUGGAAAGUGCAUCGUGAUGGGGAUCGAUUAUUGUAAUUAUUAAUCUUCAACGAGGAAUUCCUAGUAAGCAUGUGUCAUCAGCCCGUGCUGAUUACGUCCCUGCCCUUUGUACACACCGCCCGUCGCUCCUACCGAUUGGGUGAUCCGGUGAAUAACUCGGACUGCAGCUAUUCGGGAGACCGUUAGCUUGUGGAAAGUUUAGUAAAUCUUAUCACUUAGAGGAAGGAGAAGUCGUAACA
rnacentral:rRNA from 1 species